rnacentral:rRNA from 1 species
UACGUAGGUGGCAAGCGUUGUCCGGAUUCACUGGGCGUAAAGAGCGCGCAGGCGGUCGUGCAAGUCGGGUGUGAAAGCCCCCGGCUCAACUGGGGAGGGUCAUGCGAUACUGCUCGACUCGAAGGCAGGAGAGGGAAGUGGAAUUCCCGGUGUAGUGGUGAAAUGCGUAGAUAUCGGGAGGAACACCAGUGGCGAAGGCGACUUCCUGGCCUGUUCUUGACGCUGAGGCGCGAAAGCUAGGGUAGCAAACGGG